UCUCCGUUGGUGAACCAGCGGAGGGAUCAUUACCGAGUUAUACAACUCAUCAACCCUGUGAACAUACCUAUAACGUUGCCUCGGCGGGAACAGACGGCCCCGUAACACGGGCCGCCCCCGCCAGAGGACCCCCUAACUCUGUUUCUAUAAUGUUUCUUCUGAGUAAACAAGCAAAUAAAUUAAAACUUUCAACAACGGAUCUCUUGGCUCUGGCAUCGAUGAAGAACGCAGCGAAAUGCGAUAAGUAAUGUGAAUUGCAGAAUUCAGUGAAUCAUCGAAUCUUUGAACGCACAUUGCGCCCGCCAGUAUUCUGGCGGGCAUGCCUGUUCGAGCGUCAUUACAACCCUCAGGCCCCCGGGCCUGGCGUUGGGGAUCGGCGGAAGCCCCCUGCGGGCACAACGCCGUCCCCCAAAUACAGUGGCGGUCCCGCCGCAGCUUCCAUUGCGUAGUAGCUAACACCUCGCAACUGGAGAGCGGCGCGGCCACGCCGUAAAACACCCAACUUCUGAAUGUUGACCUCGAAUCAGGUAGGAAUACCCGCUGAACUUAA
rnacentral:rRNA from 3 species